UACGUAGGGGGCAAGCGUUGUCCGGAUUCAUUGGGCGUAAAGAGCGUGUAGGCGGCCAGGUAGGUCGGUUGUGAAAACUGGAGGCUCAACCUUCAGAGGUCGACCGAAACCAUCUGGCUAGAGUCCGGGAGAGGAGAGUGGAAUUCCUGGUGUAGCGGUGAAAUGCGCAGAUAUCAGGAAGAACACCCGUGGCGAAAGCGGCUCUCUGGAACGGUACUGACGCUGAGACGGCGAAAGCGUGGGGAGCAAACAGG
rnacentral:rRNA from 1 species